rnacentral:rRNA from 1 species
GACGAACGCUGGCGGCGUGCUUAACACAUGCAAGUCGAACGGAAAGGCCCUUCGGGGUACUCGAGUGGCGAACGGGUGAGUAACACGUGGGUGAUCUGCCCUGCACUUUGGGAUAAGCCUGGGAAACUGGGUCUAAUACCGAAUAGGACCACGCGCUUCAUGGUGUGUGGUGGAAAGCUUUUGCGGUGUGGGAUGGGCCCGCGGCCUAUCAGCUUGUUGGUGGGGUAAUGGCCUACCAAGGCGACGACGGGUAGCCGGCCUGAGAGGGUGACCGGCCACACUGGGACUGAGAUACGGCCCAGACUCCUACGGGAGGCAGCAGUGGGGAAUAUUGCACAAUGGGCGCAAGCCUGAUGCAGCGACGCCGCGUGAGGGAUGACGGCCUUCGGGUUGUAAACCUCUUUCAAUAGGGACGAAGCGCAAGUGACGGUACCUAUAGAAGAAGCACCGGCCAACUACGUGCCAGCAGCCGCGGUAAUACGCAGGGUGCGAGCGUUGUCCGGAAUUACUGGGCGUAAAGAGCUCGUAGGUGGUUUGUCGCGUUGUUCGUGAAAACUCACAGCUUAACUGUGGGCGUGCGGGCGAUACGGGCAGACUAGAGUACUGCAGGGGAGACUGGAAUUCCUGGUGUAGCGGUGGAAUGCGCAGAUAUCAGGAGGAACACCGGUGGCGAAGGCGGGUCUCUGGGCAGUAACUGACGCUGAGGAGCGAAAGCGUGGGGAGCGAACAGGACUAGAUACCCUGGUAGUCCACGCCGUAAACGGUGGGUACUAGGUGUGGGUUCCUUCCUUGGGAUCCGUGCCGUAGCUAACGCAUUAAGUACCCCGCCUGGGGAGUACGGCCGCAAGGCUAAAACUCAAAGGAAUUGACGGGGGCCCGCACAAGCGGCGGAGCAUGUGGAUUAAUUCGAUGCAACGCGAAGAACCUUACCUGGGUUUGACAUGCACAGGACGCCGGCAGAGAUGUCGGUUCCCUUGUGGCCUGUGUGCAGGUGGUGCAUGGCUGUCGUCAGCUCGUGUCGUGAGAUGUUGGGUUAAGUCCCGCAACGAGCGCAACCCUUGUCCUAUGUUGCCAGCGGGUUAUGCCGGGGACUCGUAGGAGACUGCCGGGGUCAACUCGGAGGAAGGUGGGGAUGACGUCAAGUCAUCAUGCCCCUUAUGUCCAGGGCUUCACACAUGCUACAAUGGCCGGUACAAAGGGCUGCGAUGCCGUGAGGUGGAGCGAAUCCUUUCAAAGCCGGUCUCAGUUCGGAUCGGGGUCUGCAACUCGACCCCGUGAAGUCGGAGUCGCUAGUAAUCGCAGAUCAGCAACGCUGCGGUGAAUACGUUCCCGGGCCU